UACGCAGUCAACGGACCAUCCUUUUUUCUAUAUUAAUUUCUAACUUCUAACUAUAACAUUCAAAAAGUCCAAAAUAUGUGAGGAAUGAUUAAUGUGAACACUGGUAGGUUUAUUUACUGUUUUUCCAUUUAUUUACAUUGACCUAGUGUAAUGGUAUCAUACUAUCAUCUGCAAUCUGUAGUGCCACGUCGCCCCAAAAAUAAUGAUUACCACAUCCACAUGCUCUUCUACUAAUUAACCGUUCCA